rnacentral:rRNA from 1 species
GACGUAGGGUGCGAGCGUUGUCCGGAUUUAUUGGGCGUAAAGAGCUCGUAGGCGGCUCGUCGCGUCGACCGUGAAAACCCGCGGCUUAACUGCGGGCUUGCGGUUGAUACGGGCGGGCUAGAGUUCGGUAGGGGAGACUUGAAUUCCUGGUGUAGCGGUGAAAUGCGCAGAUAUCAGGAGGAACACCGGUGGCGAAGGCGGGUCUCUGGGCUGACACUGACGCUCAUGCACGAAAGCGUGGGGAGCAAACAGG